rnacentral:rRNA from 1 species
UACGUAGGUGGCAAGCGUUGUCCGGAUUUACUGGGCGUAAAGAGCGCGCAGGCGGUCGUUCAAGUCGCGUGUGAAAGCCCCCGGCUCAACUGGGGAGGGUCACGCGAUACUGAUCGACUCGAAGGCAGGAGAGGGAAGUGGAAUUCCCGGUGUAGUGGUGAAAUUCGUAGAUAUUCGGAAGAACACCAGUGGCGAAGGCGGCUCACUGGACUGGUAUUGACGCUGAGGUGCGAAAGCGUGGGGAGCAAACAGG